rnacentral:rRNA from 1 species
GUGCCAGCCGCCGCGGUAAUACAGGCAGCCCAAGUGAUGGCCGAUCUUAUUGGGCCUAAAGCGUCCGUAGCUGGCUGCGCAAGUCCGUCGGGAAAUCCACUCGCCCAACGAGUGGGCGUCCGGCGGAAACUGCACGGCUUGGGAACGGAAGGCGCGACGGGUACGUCCGGGGUAGGAGUGAAAUCCCGUAAUCCUGGACGGACCGCCGAUGGCGAAAGCACGUCGCGAAGACGGAUCCGACAGUGAGGGACGAAAGCUAGGGUCUCGAACCGGAUUAGAUACCCUGGUAGUCC